AUUCAGGUAGUUUAAGUAAAAUAUUGGCUUGUGGUGCCGGUGAUAUAAUUUUUAUUCUGGAUU
rnacentral:tRNA from 1 species